rnacentral:lncRNA from 1 species
GGUAGCCAUCAUAAGUGAGGAAUUUCUAUCAGUAUCCUGAGCAUUCAGAAAUCUUUUUAUACCAGUUGGACUCAUUAGCACAUUCUAAAAGGAGAUAAUCACAAAGAUUAAAACAUACAUGGAAGGCUUUAUCAAGAAGUGAUGUUUCAGUGAAUGUCAGAUCAGUGAUAUAAAGUAUAGAAACCUACAGAACACAGAUUGUGGAUGUUUGAUGUGCACGUGAACCCAUCCAUAACUGUACAUAGUGAAAUAUGUAGCCUUGUUUAUUUCAGUAACUUUUAUGUGUAUGAAGAUAUCUCUCAUUUAGUCUCAGCAGGGACUCCUGUUGUUAACAGAAUGUAUAUUUAAGUGUAGUAUUCUUUUAAAAUUAUAAUGUGUCUUUUUCCC